AUUCCAGCUCCAAAAGCAUAUAUUAACAUUGUUGCGGUUAAAAGGCUCGUAGUCUAAUUUAUGGCUUUCCGAUGACCGCCCAGAGUCUAGUACUCUGUGUGCAAGUCAUCGGUAGUCAUCCUUUUGGAUUGCACUUCUGCCCUUGAUUGGGUCGGUUGUGGGAUACAAAUCUUUUACUGUGAGUAAAACAUAGUGUUCAAAGCAGGCUCAAUGCCCUGAAUGCUCUAGCAUGGAAUAAAUUAUAAGACUUCGGUUUUUUAUUGGCUGAAACCUAAAGUAAUGAUUGAUAGAGAUAGUUGGGGGUGCUAGUAUUUAGCGGUCAGCGGUGAAAUGCAUAGACCCGCUAAAGACUAUCUUAUGCGAAAGCGUUCACCAAGGAUAUCUUCAUCA
rnacentral:rRNA from 1 species